rnacentral:rRNA from 1 species
GACGAACGCUGGCGGCGUGCUUAACACAUGCAAGUCGAACGAUGAAGAAGAGAAACGCGAACUUCGGUUCAAAUUUCACUUCGGAUUAGUGGCAGACGGGUGAGUAACGCGUGAGCAACCUACCUCUUACAAAGGGAUAGCCUCGGGAAACCGUGAUUAAUACCAUAUGACACAUUCAUAAGGCAUCUUAAGAAUGUUAAAGCUACGGCGGUAAGAGAUGGGCUCGCGUCCCAUUAGCUAGUUGGUGAGGUAACGGCCCACCAAGGCGACGAUGGGUAACCGGCCUGAGAGGGUGAACGGUCACAUUGGAACUGAGACACGGUCCAAACUCCUACGGGAGGCAGCAGUGGGGAAUAUUGCACAAUGGAGGGAACUCUGAUGCAGCGACGCCGCGUGAGCGAUGAAAGAAUUCGUUUCGUAAAGCUCUGUUCUAUGGGAAGAAAAGGACUGUACCAUAGGAGAAAGCCCCGGCUAAAUACGUG